GUCAAAUAAAUGAAGGCAUAUGGUGGAGACCUAGGCAUUUAGAGACGAUGAAGGGCGCAGAUACCGGCGAUACGCUUCGGGGAGCUGGCAACAAGCAUUGAUCCGGAGAUUCCCGAAUGGGGCAACCUCUUAGAACUGUUCAUUGAAUUCAUAGAUGAGCAAGAGGCAACUUAGUGAAUUGAAACAUCUUAGUAACUAAAGGAAUAGAAAGCAAAAGCGAUUCCCAAAGUAGCGGCGAGCGAAAUGGGAACAGCCUAAACCAGCUCAUAGGGUUGGGGUCGUGGGAAAACAGUUCGAAAAUUUGUCAAGUUGCGCAUACGCGCAAGUUGCUCAUACUUCGCAACCAAGGGCCAAAAGCCAAGAGCCAAUUGAAAUAAAAUUUUCAAAAAAAUCUCGACGAAGCAGCUGAAUCCUGCACCAUAGAUGGUGAAAGUCCAGUAGUCAAAAGUUUGAAUCUCUCUGUUUUAUCCCGAGUAGCAUGGGGCACGUGGAAUCCCGUGUGAAUCAGCGAGGACCACCUCGUAAGGCUAAAUACUCCUAAAUGACCGAUAGCGAAAUAGUACAGUGAUGGAAAGUUGAAAGAGAACCCCCUUAAGGGGAGUGAAAUAGAACAUGAAACCGUAUGCUGACAAGCAGUGGGAGGGAUAUGUACCUGACCGCGUGCCUGUUGAAGAAUGAGCCGGCGACUUAUAGGGAAUGGCGGGUUAAGGACAGAGAUCCGGAGCCCAAGCGAAAGCGAGUCUGAAUAGGGCGUUCAAAGUCAUUUCUUAUGGACCCGAACCUGGAUGAUCUAACCAUGGCCAGGAUGAAGCUUGGGUAACACCAAUUGGAGGUCCCGAACCGACCGAUGUUGAAAAAUCGGCGGAUGAGCUGUGGUUAGGGGAGAAAUUCCAAUCGAAUUCAGAGCUAGCUGGUUCUCCCCGAAAUGCGUUGAGGCGCAGCGGUAACGAUGAGCUGUCGAGGGGUAGAGCACUGUUUCGAUACGGGCUGCGAAAGCGGUACCAAGUCGUGGCAAACUCCGAAUACUCGGCAAGCCUUCCGUAAACCAGUGAGACAGUGGGGGAUAAGCUUCAUUGUCAAGAGGGAAACAGCCCAGAUCACCAGCUAAGGCCCCUAAAUGGCCGCUAAGUGGAAAAGGAUGUGAGAAUGCUGAAACAACCAGGAGGUUUGCUUAGAAGCAGCAACUCCUUUAAAGAGUGCGUAAUAGCUCACUGGUAAAGCGUUCUUGCGCCGAUAAUGGCCGGGACUAAGCGGCCUGCCGAAGCUGUGGGAUUUUUUUUCUUUUAAUUUUUUAAAAAGUUGCGCAUACGCGCAAGUUGCUCAUACUUCGCAACCAAGAGCCAAAAGCCAAGAGACAGAAAAAAAAUCGGUAGGGGAGCGUUCUCCAUUGGGUGAAGCGAUCACGUAAGUGUUCGUGGACAGUGGAGAAGUGAGAAUGUUGGCUUGAGUAACGAAAACAUUGGUGAGAAUCCAAUGCCCCGAAAACCUAAGGGUUCCUCCACAAGGUUCGUCCAUGGGGGGUGAGUCAGGACCUAAGGCGAGGCCGAACGGCGUAGUCGAUGGCAAACAGGUUAAUAUUCCUGUACUUAUUAUUGUGGGGACCGAGGGACGAAGAAGGCUAAAUUGUAGCUGUGCAUGGAAUACAGUGGAAGCGUUCAAGACGUUGAUAGGUCGAAUAAAAACGACUCUAGAGUUAAGGCGUGAUCCCAUUUUCUGGAACUUGUUCCGGAUGGAUGUCAACGAUGUCAUACUUCCAAGAAAAGCUCGUACACUAUUAACACAAUAAUAACCUGUACCAGAAACCGACACAGGUAGGUAAGUAGAGAAUACUCAGGGGCGCGAGAGAACUCUCUCUAAGGAACUCGGCAAACUGGCCCCGUAACUUCGGAAGAAGGGGCGCCUGAGAAAUCAGGCCGCAGUGUCCAGGCUCAGGCGACUGUUUACCAAAAACACAGGUCUCCGCAAAGUCGUAAGACAAUAUAUGGGGGCUGACGCCUGCCCAGUGCCGGAAGGUGAAGGAAGUUGGUUAUUUUGAAUUUCAAGAGAAGCUGACGACCGAAGCCCCGGUGAACGGCGGCUGUAACUAUGACAGUAGCGAAAUUCAUUGUCGAGUAAGUUUCGACCUGCACGAAAGGCGUAACGAUCUGAGCGCUGUCUCAGAGAGAGACUCGGUGAAAUAGACUUGUCCGUGAAGAUGCGGACUACUAACAUUUGGACAGAAAGACCCUAUGAAGCUUGACUGUAUUCUGGAAUGGAAUUCGGGCUUUUCUUGCGCAGUCUAGGUGGGAGGCGUUGAAGAUUUCCUUCCGGGGAAGUUGGAGCCAUCAGUGAGAGACCACUCUGGGAAGGCUAGAAUUCUAAUGGCGAUCCUUGAAUCAGGACGCUUGACAGUUUCAGAUGGGCAGUUUCUCUGGGGCGGAGACCUCACAGGCUAAUCUUCUCCAAGAGUUCACAUCGACGAGAAGGUUUGGCACCUCGCGAGACAGUUCGGUCCAUAUCCGAUGUUAGCGUUAGAAUAUUGAGGUCAGUCACUCAUAGUACGAGAGGACCUGUAGUGAUCAUGCCUAUGGUCUAUCAGUUCUUUUUCCAAAGGGAAACGCUGAGUAGCUACGCAUGGAGUGCAUAACCGCUGAAAGCAUCUAAGUGGGAAGGCCAGACCAAGAUGAGUAUUCUCCAUUAAGCCGCAGCAAGACAAGCUGUAGAUAGGUAUCAGGUGUACAAUCAGUAAUGGUUUGAGCCGAGAUAUACUAAAGGCAGACUGAUUUUGAC
rnacentral:rRNA from 1 species